CUAAUAACGCAUGGUCAUUCGUAUAGCAAACAUAUAAGUGUAUAGCCAACACAAACAUUGUCAGUGUCAUGCCUGAUUAGACAAGGACAGAAGACACUUUUAUGCAGCGUUCUUUCUACUCCUAUGUCGCAUCCACUUACACGAUAAUUUAAGACUAUAUGACUCGCGUACUCUAACUCUUUGUAUAUCUAUGGUUAUAAUAGACAUUUAUUGCAGUCUCACAAUUGUUCGAAAUUUUGAAUUUUAGAACAUGUCUAAGAAUCAUGGAAAUGGAAAGGUAGGUAGCAUUUCUGCACUUCCAUCAAAAUUACUAUUAACAAAUUGAACACUUUAAACACUCCAUCCAUUAAAUAAACCUCUAUUAUAUAAUUGUGAUAGUAUGAAACUUCCUUUCUGCUGUGACGUCCAUAUCUCAUAAAAAGAUUAUUUGAAAGUUAGUGGUUUUCACGUUCGUGUUCUAUGUACAUAUGUAGCGCUUAAAGUUCUAAAACAGACAAUUUAAAUAUCCGUGAAGGUCACCUUUUAUAAACAUUAUGUCCAUUCAUUGGGGUAUAGCAGGUGCUGGAAAAUAUCACAUGGUUUUGUAACAUGCUUACGAACAUUACCAGAAUCCGAACAUGUAGUUCUUGCAGUAGCGGCACGUGAACUAUCAAGGGCACAGAACUUUUCUAGCUUACAUAAAAUUAAAAAGGCGUUAUUACAAUUAUGUAGAGCUAGCUCUACAAUUAUGUAGAGCUAGCGAAAGACAAGAAUAUUGAUGUCGUAUAUAUUGGAACGUUACAUCCUCAACACUUUGACAUUGCAAAAUUAAUGUUAAAUCAUGGGAAACAUGUUUUAUGUGAAAAACCUUUAACUAUGAAUUUGAAGCAAACAACAGAGUUGAUAAAUUUAGCAAAGCAGAAGAAGUUGUUCUUAAUGGAAGGUAUUUGGAGUAGUAGUUGUUUUCCUAUAUAUGAAACUCUUAAAAAAGAAAUUGUCAUAGAGUGUUAUCAGCGUUGUCAUAGACUGUUGUCACCAUAUUUUAAAAAGAAUCGUUGUAACGAAGUUAGUGAGUAACGAACAGUGAUUGCGCAAACAUAGAUUGCCGGAGCAUCAAACGAUAUUGUAACAAUCAUACCGUUACCAAAUCUACUAGCACUAUACCAUUUUCCUACAUAUAUAUAUAUAUGCUUAAGAUACAAUAAGUUACAUAUAUAUAAAAUAUGUAUGUAUGUAUAUUUCAAUACUCCUAUAAGAUAUACAGGGUAUAUUGUUUAAUACCAACCACCAUUUCUCGAGUGUUUCCAAUAAUAUUGUAACGUCGCGUGAAAAGGUCCGCGCGACGUCCUUCAUUGUCUGACCGUCAAGGCCCAAGCACCGUUAGAGAAACACUCAAUAAACCUAAGGCCCCACCAUAAACCGAGUCUUAUUAGUUGGCAGGAAGCUUUAACCGUACAAGUAUUUUCAGUUUAUUACUGGUACUUAAAAGGUCCUUAGGUCUAUUGUACAUUCUUCCAAAUUACGAAGAAAGGAAGUAGUUACCUAAAGGGAAAAACGAAAAAAUUGCCUAAUGGAAUAGCUGGUAAUAUAACCGAAUAAAACUGAUCCCAUAUCAAAUCUGCAGCCUUUCUGUUCACAAAAGCUAAUAGCAGAAUCCGUUAAUGCAGAUUUGGCUGGUAGUGCAACUGGUUUAAUAGAGUAACGUUAGUCCUGAAGAAUCACGGUGACGUAUAUUAUGCAAACGGAACACCGAUGCUGGCAAAAUUGUCGGAAACACCCGGGAAAUGGCAGUCUUGAGUCUAGAGUCCAGUCGAAUUCGCCUAGAACAAUACAGUUUGCAGGUCAACGGGAGAAAGUCUUUCGCAAUUGUUGUUUGAAAUAAAUCAGCUUGGCUUCAUUAAGCGACAGGAAUAAGUGACAAGCCUGAGCAAGAAAAUGAACGCGUCUGCGACAGAAAACAUAAAAAUGCGACAGGGUAUCAAAAUCGACGAUACGUGAUGAUCGGAUACGUGAUUCGGACGUCGCACCGGGAGUAGAUAAGGAAUUGGUACCGAAAUUUGAAAGCCCCUACGUUAUUAAAAA